UCAUUCCGCGGCGUCAGCCUCUCCAAGUCUCACAGUUACGGGUUACAGAUCCAUUGGUAGGCUCCUCGCCGGGUGUGUGCACAUUGGCUACUUGGCUACUCGUUCUCAAGGAUUUACUAAUUUCUCUUUGAGACGUGUCGUCUUACAAUUUACAAUAUUAUCUAUAACUGUCUCAUACAGAACCUGUCGAUAUUCCUUUCCGCUGGAGACUGUUUGAGCGAUAAGGGAAAUUGUAGCGGAAGAUGGAUGCUUGCGCUCUAGGGUUCUACUUUUAAUGUUGAUUACGGUCUGCUACGUGUAAUUCCUGCCAACAGACGAAAACACAUUUGUUCGGACCUCCAUCAAGUUCGUGGCGCCAGUAAGCGGUGGUUAUCAAUUUAAAGGUUCACCAGGUUAGCUUACAGGGCACGUAACUAGAUAUAGCCUGUGCUAAGAAUCUAAAUUCUCUUAUUUAAUCAAACUGGGCAAAACAUUUUAUUCAGUGGGAAUAAUAUGCAAUUGAGUGCUAGUUCUGUACCCGAAUGGCCAGUCAGGUGCAGUCCUUGUCAUCACGCGAGGCACAUCUGAAGACCCCGAACCGGGCAGGUUGCUGUUGAUAACCUACGGACUGCACAGCAUAACGUGGCUGAUAAGGAUUUUCUUGGAAGUGGGUGGUUUGACUGGAAGGCGCGGAAUACCACACUGGAGCAGCCACAAAGUGCUGGCGGGAUAACAGUGUUUCCCUGCCGGGCUUGUCUGACCCAUCGUUACGUGUUGGCGGGAACCACACCACGCCCACGCCAACACCUGUCCAUCCUCGGUUGAAACCAAGAGCAGCGUCCGCCUGCCAUGCGCCUGCACCCCGGGUUGUGAGGGCAGCUCGUUUCCCCGUCGCAGGACACAGCAAAUUGCCAAAUGGUGUGUGGCGACCACCUGUGUUCCAGACUGCAUAAAUAACGAGAAAGGUGCUCCACUGAGGCUCCCUGACUGACACAUCAGAGAGACCCC